GGUCAUGAAGGCACGCUCCUGAAAGCCUGGGUGUUUAGUGCACAGCUUUUGGCGCCCCUCUGGCCGCCGAAAAUUCCCAGCACGCCCACUGUGGAACUCAACUGCCAACGCCACCUUGCGGCUAGGCUGCGACUUCUGCGCUGUGGGGUGACCACAACCCCCAGCACCCCGCAGGGCGAAUGCAAGUCACAACUCCCAGCAUCCUUCGGCAGCGACUUCCGGGUCUCCACUCUCCCGUCGCCCGCCCUCCAAUCGUCCACGCGCAGGCGCGGGCCUUAUUUCCCAGAAGCCCUCGGUGCUCGCCGGCGAUGGCGGUUUGGGGCUUUCCGGUCUGUCCCUCCCUAGAGCGGGCGAGCGCGGACCGAGCAGCUAGCACGGUGGGCCCAGUCGGACGCCGCCCGGGUUCCCCCGCCGGCCUCCUCCCGCCCGGAGUAGUGUGGGCCUGGCUAGCGCUCCGUGGGCGACGGGUGGCGCCGCGUCGGGGGCGGGGCCGGUCCGGGAGCCGCGCGUGGGCAGCGCGUCCCUCCCGCGUGCGCGCCGGAUGUGAGCACGGAUGUGAGCACGGCCAGGGAAGUGUCUCAGCGUAGACCGCCCAGAUUUAUUACUUCCGGGGCAGGACGUGUAUUUGUGAGCGCAGCCGCGCACCGCGAGAGUGGGCCGGAACCCCCGACCUCAGCGCGGCGCCCUCCUCACGCUCUCGCUGCGAGGAGCGUGGGCGCCGCGUGGGGUCGUGCGAGGCGCCGCCCCUCCCGGCCUCUCGGUGCUUCUCUCCAGGGUGUCGCUUGGAGUUUGUGAGUAGACGGGGUUUCUCGCUUUGUGCGUUCCCCGUGUGCUUUUCUGGGAGAGAUUGCCCCUGUCAUAUUAGCUUCUGCCAAAAGAUUCAUUUGCGGGUCAGAUUUAGCUGAAAUUUUAAAAUUUUUAAUUCGAGAAAAUAUCAAACACUGUAAAGGAAUGGAAUCCAUGUUGCAGUCCAUGUAACUAUUAAACUUCGUUCGAAUUCAGUUAGUUUAAGAAUACAUACAUGACCAGCCAGGCGUGGUGGCCCGCUCUUGUAAUCCUAGACUGGAAUGCGUUCCCGCCCAGCCUGGGAUGCAGAGCCAGACCCUGCCUCAAGCAGCAGACAAAACAAAACGCAUGAAGCCCAGUGAGACUUGAAUCUCAGAUAACAGUGCGUUUAUUGUUAGUACUGCUGUUUCAGCUUUAGUAUAUUAAAAUCUUUAACAUAGUAGUUAAGUAAUUUUUAAUGUAACUGAACCCCAGAGUAGUGCUCCCAAUUUUAGUGAGUAAAAAUGUAGAAGGUGCGGUUAAACUUAAAUUCCAAAGAAACAGCAAAUAUUGUUACUAUCACUGUGUGCCAUAUUUACUUUAUUUAAAAUACUUUGAAUAUAUUUCAGAUAAAUAUUUUUAUUUUUUAAUUUGGAAAAUUUUGUUUCUGUUCUUUUGAAGCAGGGUUUGGCUAUAAUGCUCAACGUGUUCUUGAAUACACCAAGUGGUACCGGCUGGACCUGAGCUGGUGAUACCCUUGUCUCAGCUUCUAGCCGGGAUUAAGUGUGGCUUCACCUAUUUAUUCCUUUGUCCUGCAGCCCCCGUGUAUCGCCCCAAGCUGCCUGGCCCCCACAAAGCUCCCUUCCCCAUCCCAGAACCUCAGACAAGUCGCUGGAGUCAGGGGCCUGGUGCCAGCUGUGAAGCCCUCCUCACUCCCCCUAGCAGAGGCCAGGGCAGCUGCCUGGUCCUCCAUGGCCCAGUGACUCGUAGAUACUCCUAUACCUUCCAGGACCCCACACUGGCCUGAGACCCCUCCCCCAACCCAGAAACCCACAGGUCUCUGCACCCACAAGCCUCUCAACCCCAUCUUUCCUGACAUGUACUCUAUGUCAGGACCCUCCAACCUGGGGUCCACUUGGGUCCUGCUUCUGAGCAUGGAGAGAAGAUACUGCCUUUGACCUUCAAAGAGGAAACCACUCGGACCUGUGGAAAUCACUUCAACCUGAGGUGCAGAAAUCAGUCCAUUUGAAAAAACAUACUGGGUAUGGUGGACCACAUCUGUAAUCCUAACAUUUUUGGGCGGCUGAGGCAGGAGUAUUGUAAAUUUGAACCCAGCCUGGGCCACUUUAGUGAAUUUAUAAUACCUUGUCUCAAACCUGUCAUACCCUGCUGAUACAGCUUUGGGUUUGAUCCUCACGAACUCAAAAAAGAAAAGAAAAAACAAAGGUCCAGGAGGGCACCUUUCCACUUGUCAUAUCAUGGCUUUCUCCCAUGAAAAUCCUAAAGGUUUGAGGUAGGGUGGUCCCCCAUGCAAAUAAAGGCCACCAUUUGGAGAGUCACAGAAAGGUUGAUGUGGCUUGCUGGCCACCAGGAGGCUCUGUCAGGACACUGCAUCCGUGCCCUUGAACAAAUAGGGACAGCUACUGUGUCCCACAGUUGAAUGCUACACAUGGGAUGGGAGGCAGGCAAGGGAUGCCACCAGGUUUUGGCACUUCUGUAGUAAAUGUAGUAAAUUUUUUGUCCACAUUUGGGUAAAUGCCAAUGUGAGCUUCUAGAAUGUCCUUGCUAAUACAAGCUGCCACCAACCCUUCCAGGAAGGCCUGGACAGUGCACACUCGCACCAGUGGAUCACCACAGAGGUCAAAUGUUUACAAAACAGAACUCCCGGUUCAUUUUCAUGGUUUUUAAUGGCUUCCUCAGUUACGGGUCAUGGUAUCGAGUUUGGAGAAGGUGUUUCCUUGCCCUUCCCCUUUCCUUUGCCUUCGAUCUCUCCUCCAGGCCUCUGCCUCAUGCCCACCUCCCUCAGCCAGGACAUGGCAGAAAGUGUAAAGAGGACAGCAGAGGUGACACCCAGGGCACAGGUGGCCACUGCCACAUUGUAGUGUGUGGACAGCAACCAGGUGUUUCUGCUUCAGUGAAUUAAAAUGUCAGAGUCCAAUUCCUUAUUUCAGGUGCACUGGGUGUAGUGCACCAUCCAUCCUCCAGGGAGGUUCUGCUGGCCAGAUGGCUACUCCGUGAAUGCAGCAGUCCUCCGGCUCCUCUGAGGAUGUGUGCUGUGUGAUGUGGAAUGAGGUGGAGGUAGGUGUUGAGCUAAAUCAAGGAUAAGGGUUUGUUCAGAGCUGGGUGGGUGUGAAGGCAGCAAGGUGCGGAUGGCAUGCGUGGGAAUUCAUCAGAUCUGGUGGGAACCACAGGAGUGCAAAGGCCCUGUUGCAGCUGCUGGUUCCUCCUUGGCUCAAGCCCCGAUGGGCUAUUCUGUGGGUGCUGGUGGCCAAGACAAAGAGGCAGGGAGCACCUGGGAUCCUGAGCAGGGCGGGCCACCAUCUGAUGUGGCCUCUCCAUCCCUGCCGCCUGCCAGCACCCACGUUGGCCCAGAGCUGCCGGCACUGUCCCGGGGCAGACUGCACACCUCUCCUCAGGUAGCCUCAGCCAGGUGCUGGGCAGAGCGCUUGCCGCUCCCUAAGCCCGAGCCAGCCUGGAGGGAGCAGACAGCACGCCCGCGGCCUUCGCUCCCAGCUGUUCUGGGUCCAGGGGCCGGCUCUGGGUGUGUGUGGCCAGUGGCUAUGGCCCGAGUAGCCACUCACUGGCAAGGAAAGGGAUGCAAACCCUGAACAGACAAGCUGCAAGCAGAGACAUCCUGCUCUUGGUAGCAGCCUCAGACAGCAGCCCAACUUUGAUGUCAGGGCCGGCCGUUCCUCCCAGAGUCCAACCCUUGUCCUCUAAAAGACCUGUAUCGACCUCCUUGUCCGCAUCUCAUCUAAAGCGAAGGCCUUCUGUGAGCCAGAGCAGAGUGGCCUUGGAAUCACAACUGGAAGCAUAAUUUAAACACAACACGGGUGCUUCUAGGAGAUGUGUAAGGUGCUAAGCGAUCACACAAAAACAUCCUUUAGAUGAUGAUGUUGCUGCCCAGAGGUUUUUCCAUCCCCAAAUCCUCAUAAAACCCCAGCCCCUCACCCUGACUAUGCAGUUCCCCUUGUGGAAACUCACCACUGCCUCUCUUGGCACCGUUCCCUGAUCUGAAAAAACUCCGGUCUUUUCUGUGUUCCCCACCUGCUGGUCACUUCUUUCCCCAGCCCUCCGUGCGCCUCGCCCUGCCUAGUGCUCACGUGGCGCAGGUGCUGGGGUUCUGGCGCAGAGUGGCUCCUGGGUGAGCUCCCAGCACCACGCAGGCCUGCCUCGAGAGCAGGGGUGGGAGCGGCAGCUGGGGCCCCAGGAGGACCGAGCUGGUCUGACUGAUGUCCCGUCUGCCCUGUGCUGCUCCCAAGCCCUGGGAACAGCAGCCUUUGGUGAGUGAACGUCUCCCUCCUGUCGUGUUCAAGAAGCUUACACAGACGUGCGCGCGCAUGCGCACACACGUACACAAAGAUGUUCUGAGUGAGCGUCCCAUCUGCUGCUGUUUCUCAGUUGUGCCCAAUAGUCCCCUGGUUCCCACACAUCUGUCUGGCCUCAUCCAAGCCACAUACUCAAGCUGCCUCCGAGAGACUGUCAGGCCCCUGGAGCCUUUGGAUCUUUGGACCUCACAGAACCCAGGGUCCAGGAACCCUCCACAGGUGGAGCUCGGGGAGCUGCAAGGGCUGGGGCGCGUCUGAGCCUCCCACUACCCCUCAAGUUGCAUCCUCUGGGCAGCCCCACGGAGCAGGUGCCCUCACCUAGGGAAGUGGCAGAAGUGCGGGAGCUGGACACCGAGGAUCCCGAGCAGGAACAAAAGAUGGUUGUGAUGUGGGUCAGGGAGACGAGAGCUUGCUGGGCAGGACGCUGCAGCAGACCGGCCGUGCUGCCGCCCAGACAACGGGGGUUGCGGGGUAGACCUGCUGCCUGCAAGCAGGAAAUCUGUUGGGAUCAUGGCCGGCUUUUCACCAGCAUGCAUGUGACUGACCACAGUCAGUGGAUACGUUGAUCAGCCUGAUUUAAACACUGUUACGUAGAUGCUCAUGUACAUAAUAGAAUAAGGCUAUUCCGUACAUGACCUAUGUGUGGAAUAUAAUAUAGGUCAUGUACAUAAUUGUCUUAUAUACAUGCAUCUAUAUAUCUGUAUGCCACACAUAGGUCCAAGUAUUUAUCAGUUUUUUUUCUUUUUAUCAGUUUUGAAAAUAACACGAAGCUGGGUGUACUGAUGCACGCCUGUAAUACCAGCACUCUGCAAGGCUGCAGCAGGAGGUCACAAGUGCCAGUCUGUUCUGGGCCACUUAACCGACUUGGACACAGUCUGUUUCAGAGUCUGAAGGACAGAAACUGGCAAGAGGAAGAGCCUGGGGGCUAUGAACUCAGACACACGUUGUCCUUGAGCACAAGCCCAGCCAGAGAGAGGUGCACGGAAAGAACCCUGAGCAUCCGCAGUGGUGGGACAACCAGCCACGCGCUCACAUUCUGGGAUCCGCCCUCCAUGUCUUUGAAGAACCCUAGACCCUGCUUAACCUGAGGUCCGGCAGGUGUCAGCAGGAUGAGGUAGCACUUGGGGAGGAAGAUGCCACCCAGCAGUCCUGCAGUGGAGGCCAGGAUGGAGAA